rnacentral:rRNA from 1 species
UACGUAGGGUGCGAGCGUUAAUCGGAAUUACUGGGCGUAAAGCGUGCGUAGGCGGUUUGCCGUGUCCUGUGUGAAAUCCCCGGGCUCAACCUGGGAAUGGCGAUGGAUACUGGCGAGCUAGAGUGUGUCAGAGGAUGGUGGAAUUCCCGGUGUAGCGGUGAAAUGCGUAGAGAUCGGGAGGAACAUCAGUGGCGAAGGCGGCCAUCUGGGACAACACUGACGCUGAAGCACGAAAGCGUGGGGAGCAAACAGG